rnacentral:rRNA from 1 species
GACGAACGCUGGCGGCGUGCUUAACACAUGCAAGUCGAACGGAAAGGCCCUGCUUUUGUGGGGUGCUCGAGUGGCGAACGGGUGAGUAACACGUGAGUAACCUGCCCUUGACUUUGGGAUAACUUCAGGAAACUGGGGCUAAUACCGGAUAGGAGCUCCUGCUGCAUGGUGGGGGUUGGAAAGUUUCGGCGGUUGGGGAUGGACUCGCGGCUUAUCAGCUUGUUGGUGAGGUAGUGGCUUACCAAGGCUUUGACGGGUAGCCGGCCUGAGAGGGUGACCGGCCACAUUGGGACUGAGAUACGGCCCAGACUCCUACGGGAGGCAGCAGUGGGGAAUAUUGCACAAUGGGCGGAAGCCUGAUGCAGCAACGCCGCGUGCGGGAUGACGGCCUUCGGGUUGUAAACCGCUUUCGCCUGUGGCGAAGCGUGAGUGACGGUAAUGGGUAAAGAAGCACCGGCUAACUACGUG